AGGAGAGCCCUGGGUGGACGGGCAGUGGUGGGCGCCAGGCAGGGCCUCCCAGGGCAGGUGCCAGCUCCCACACAGGUACCCCCAUGCAGCAGCAUCCUGGAGUGGCCUAGUCCCCAGGAGAGAUGCAACUGCUGGAACCCUGGCUGAGUGCAGAGACAGGAUGCCAGCGUCUGACCCUCAGCGGGAAGCAGGAGGCCGCAGAGCAGGGGCGGCCUCCAGGAGCUCCUGGGGCUGCCACACGGCUGGCACAGACCCACGUGGCUUCCCUCUGGCUCUGCACAGCUCUCCGGCCCCGGACACCUGGGGCCAGGCUGCCUCCCUGGGUGUGCACCAGGACUCCGCCAGGGGAUGGAGAGCGAGGCCGUCUCAGGUCCCUGAGACACAGAGACAGCAAUACAAGGGACUUCCUGCCUCACUCCUCUUCAGGGCCAAGUCUGUGGCUCUCCUCCCUUGGCUCACCCUAACUUCCCGCUGCGCUUGCACCCUCCCACUUAGCCCUGCACCCCCCCUGGGCUGGGCUGCCAGCUGACUGUGCAGAGGGUGGACAUGCUGAGCCUGGCCCUGGACCCGGUCAGACUCGGGGCUGCAGGAGCCAGAGCUGUGCUCCCGCCAGGCUGCCCGAGGGAACCCAGGACCUGGGAAGCUGCAGAGAGGAGUGGGCGCCACAGACACGCACUGGCCAGGCAGCGCCCUU
rnacentral:lncRNA from 1 species